UACGUAGGGGGCAAGCGUUGUCCGGAAUCAUUGGGCGUAAAGAGCGUGUAGGCGGCCAGAUAAGUCCGCUGUGAAAUCUCGAGGCUCAACUUCGAGCUGUCGGUGGAAACUGUCUGGCUAGAGUCCGGAAGAGGAGAAUGGAAUUCCUGGUGUAGCGGUGAAAUGCGCAGAUAUCAGGAAGAACACCCGUGGCGAAGGCGGUUCUCUGGGACGGUAUUGACGCUGAGACGCGAAAGCGUGGGGAGCGAACAGG
rnacentral:rRNA from 1 species